GACGAACGCUGGCGGCGUGCCUAACACAUGCAAGUGGAGCGACGAACCAGACUUCGGUCUGGGGCCAAGCCGCGAACGGGUGAGUAACACGUGGGUAACCUGCCCCGAUGAUCGGGACAACCCGGGGAAACCCGGGCUAAUACCGAAUGUGGUCCCGGCUCUUGAGAGCCGUGACGAAAGGAAGCUUCGGCCUCCGCAUUGGGAGGGGCCCGCGGCCCAUUAGCUAGUUGGUGAGGUAACGGCUCACAAAGGCUUCGAUGGGUAGCUGGUCUGAGAGGACGAUCAGCCACACUGGGACUGAGACACGGCCCAGACUCCUACGGGAGGCAG
rnacentral:rRNA from 1 species